rnacentral:tRNA from 1 species
GCGAGGGUUGCCCAGCCAGGUCAAAGGCGACAGGUUGAGGGCCUGUUCACAUAGGUGUUCGCGAGUUCGAAUCUCGUCCCUCGCACC